CCUACGGGGGGCAGCAGUGGGGAAUAUUGCACAAUGGGGGGAACCCUGAUGCAGCGACGCCGCGUGAGUGAAGAAGUAUUUCGGUAUGUAAAGCUCUAUCAGCAGGGAAGAAAAUGACGGUACCUGACUAAGAAGCCCCGGCUAACUACGUGCCAGCAGCCGCGGUAAUACGUAGGGGGCAAGCGUUAUCCGGAUUUACUGGGUGUAAAGGGAGCGCAGACGGCUGUGCAAGUCUGGAGGGAAAGGCGGGGGCCCAACCCCCGGACUGCUGUGGAAACUGUAAAGCUUGAGUGCAGGAGAGGUAAGCGGAAUUCCUAGUGUAGCGGUGAAAUGCGUAGAUAUUAGGAGGAACACCAGUGGCGAAGGCGGCUUACUGGACUGCAACUGACGUUGAGGCUCGAAAGCGUGGGGAGCAAACAGGAUUAGAUACCCCAGUAGUC
rnacentral:rRNA from 1 species